rnacentral:tRNA from 1 species
GGAGAGGUACCCAAGUUGGCUAAAGGGGGCAGACUGUAAAUCUGUUGUCUCAGACUUCACUGGUUCGAAUCCAGUCCUCUCCACCA